GCCCAACAACGCUCGAUCGCAUCUCGAGGGAUCGAUGCGGACAUUGGCUCUCCGAGCUGCUAGCGGCGCGGUGGGCCCAAGUGUAAGGCUGUCGGAUGGGGUCGGGAGCGGCGCAGUGGUGGGCUUCUGCGCACGUCGGCUCCCCUGCCUUGUGUCGGCGGAGGGCCCUUCUUCGACCCCCAAAUGAGGAGAAUGUCGUGUCGCGGCAUUCUCCGGAUC
rnacentral:misc_RNA from 1 species